rnacentral:tRNA from 1 species
GCCCCGUUAGGGUAGUCUGGAUAUCCUUUUUCCCUGCGGAGGAAAAGACAUGAGUUCAAAUCUCAUACGGGGCG